GAUUUCUGGCUUGAAACAUUUUGCCGGCCACGGUUUCGUGUGUUAGUGCUUGAUGUUCUGGCCAUCCUUCCAAUCGCUAUUGCCUUCUCUUCAUUGAGUGGUCAGUGGUAUUGGAUCUUUUACUUUGAAAAAAUUAGAGUGUUUCAAGCAGGCUUUAUGCUAUGAAUACAUUAGCAUGGAAUAAUAAUUUAGGACUUUUGUCUUAUUUUGUUGGUUUUCGGACUUAAGUAAUGAUUGAUAGGGAUAGUUGGGGGUGCUAGUAUUCAGCGGCCAGAGGUGAAAUUCUUGGAUUCGCUGAAGACUAACUUAUGCGAAAGCAUU
rnacentral:rRNA from 1 species